AUGCCAGCUUAGCCUAGUGGUUCCUUGGCUCCCCAGUCAAAUACAGUUCCUUGGCCCUGUUGGUUUGAGUCCCAUGGGGGCUGCCUGGCCUUUAU
rnacentral:vault_RNA from 1 species